rnacentral:rRNA from 1 species
GGAUUCCUCAGUAACGGCGAGUGAACGGGGAUUAGCCCAUCACCGAAGCCCGUGUGCUUUUGCAUACAGGGCAAUGUGGUGUUAAGGCUUGCACCUGGGACUGUGAACUCACCAUAAGUCCAGCUCCGAUUCUGGCUUAUUGUGGUCCAAAGCGGGUGAAAGACCCGUGAUGGUGGGUUAUGGAAUAUAUCGCAGUCCUCAGAUGUGCGUGCCUUCGAGUCGGAUUGCUUGAGAAUGCAGUCCAAAGUGGGUGGUAAACUCCAUCCAAGGCUAAAUACUGGCAUGAGUCCGAUAGUAGACAAGUACCGUGAGGGAAAGUUGAAAAGUACUCUGAAGAGAGAGUAAAUAGUACGUGAAGCCGAUUGCACGGAAGCUGGUGGAGUCAAGCUUCAUGCUUGAGGAAUUUUUAUCAUGAGUUAUUGUGGUUUUGCAUGUGAUCAUUCAGCUUGGUACCUUUGGGCACAUUCCUGUGUAUCAACGUCAUUCUGGGUAAAGUG